CUGUCCUUGAUGGAGUUUGCCUACAAACAGGAUAUUCUGUCAAGGUAUAGAUAGGUAACAGCGGACAUGCUUGAAAACGAGGUGUCUGCUGUCCUUGGGAGGGCCUACUUGCAAACGAGAGGCUCCUUCAAGGUUUAGAUAAGGUAACUGCAGACAUGCUUGAAAACAAGGUGUCUACUGUCCUUGGGAGGACUUGCCUGCAAACGGGAUGUUCUGCCAAGUGGGCUAGGAGGGCACUAAGAAAAAUUUUAUUAUCUGUUCUUAACAAAGAGCAGAGCUCAACAUACUCAGGGCCGAGAAUAGAUUGCCAUGAGAAGCGGGUCACUUCUGAUUAGAAAGUAAAACUUCUGUAUGCUAUGUUUAAUUAGCUGAAAGACCUGAUUUAUUGAUGUUGGAAGGCUGCCUUCUUUGUUCACAAUACUAUAAAAAGAUUGCUGUACACAAUAAAGGACUUUUUUUCUGCUGCUGCUUUGCUUGCUCUGCUUCUUUCUUUCUUUUCCCAUGCUGACCUGCAAGUGAAUUACUGCAACAUUUGGCGUAGUCGGCAGGAUCCAGCACCGAAAGGGUAAGCACCCCAGGUUAAGAAAACGAAAGGGGGACUUUCGGGAUUAACAAAAUAUCAAAAGGUAUCGCCCCAGGUUGAAAGAAACUUUAGGGGGACUUUCAGAACUAACAAAUAUCGAAAGGUAUCGCCCCAGGUUGAAAGAAACUUUAGGGGGACUUUCAAAACUAACAAAUAUCGAAAGGUAUAGCCCCAGGUUGAAAGAAACUUUAGGGGGACUUUCAGAACUAACAUGGGAAACUCCCAGUCCUUAAAGGAACAAUAUGUGGAGUUACUACAAGGAUUAUUAUAUUCCAUAGGUGUGAAAACAUCUCAUAAAAGACUCAAGGAGUUAUUUAAAAUUAUAGAAUGUCAUUGUCACUGGUUCCAGUAUCAAACUAAGGUCCAGUUAAAUUUAGGGGAAUGGAAAUUGGUUCAGAAAGAGCUCCGUAAGCAGCAUCAGGCUGGAAAUGUUAUUUCUUUAAAGAUUUGGACAUUGUGUAAUGCUAUUACUCAGGCAUUACAAUUAUUAGAAAGCAAUAAUGAUAAGGGCUCUCUUUGUGAAAGUCAAGUUAAUACAUCAGAAUCUGAUAAUAAGGUUAACAAAUCGGAGCCCAAGAAAGAUAUUUGUGAUACUAUAGAUGACUCUCCUAAAUCAGAUCUGGGUGAUGAGGAAGAUUCAGAAAGUUCAGAUAGUGACUCCAGUAUGAAAGAAAUUAUGGAAGCCUUUGUAGAAAAAAUGAAAUUAAAAAAGCAAAGGUCUUCUCUUAAACCUACUACUUCUUCUAAUGCUUCUCUCUUUCCAGUGACAAGGUAUAGAGUUGAUGUGGGUAGAGAACAACAACGUUUUUCAUUUCCUCUUACUAUGAUACAUGAUGAUGAUGAUCUUGCAGAUCCCCCUGGUGGAAUUGUUGAUCCACCACUUUUGUUUCCUAUAACUAGACAACAAAACCUUCAAAAUCCCCAAAUGAUUGAUGUUCACUAUACUGCAGUGGAAUACAAGUUUAUUAAGGAUUUAAAAGCUGCAGUCUCUCAAUAUGGCCCUCAGUCUCCUUUUGUGUUAGGUAUGUUAGAAAAUUUAGGAACUUCUAAACUACUUAUUCCUUUGGAUUGGGAGGCAUUAGCCAAAACAGUUUUGGAGGGAUCUCAGUGGCUACAAUUGAGAAGUUGAUAGGAAGAUGAGGCACAAAAACAAGCUAGAGAGAAUGAGGCUCAAAAUCCCCCGGGACCUAUGGAGGAUAAGUUAAUGGGGGAGGGUAAUUACCGUGCCUAUAGAGAGCAGGCUCAAUAUACAGAUCCAGAUCUUCAACAAGUUCGACAGGUUUUCUUAAGAGCUUGGAGACAUGUGAUACCCAUUGGUCAAGCACAACCUUCCUUUACUAAAACUGUACAAGGGGCUACUGAACCUUAUACUGAUUUUCUUGCCAGACUGCGUACUGCUGUAAUGAGGGCAAUAAAUCAAGAUCAAAUAGCAAAGGUAUUAUUGGAAACAUUGGCAUUUGAAAAUGCUAAUCCUGAAUGUAAGCGUAUUUUGGGGCCAUUAAAAGGGCAAAACGCCUCAUUGAGUGAAUAUGUGAGAGCUUAUGCUGGAGUGGGAAGAAUUGAACAUCAAGCUUCUGUUUUUGCUACAGCCAUGGCUGGAGCCCUUAAACCCAAUAAAUCAGGAACUUGUUUCAAUUGUGGAAAAGCAGGUCAUUUUAAAAGGGAUUGUAAAAAAAUAAUAAUGAUAAAUAAAUAAAUAAAAUAAAUAGAUAAAUAAAUUUUAUGAUACUUUCUAAUUACCGGCUGAUCAUUUUUUCUAGGACUCUUGCUUUUUCC
rnacentral:lncRNA from 1 species